rnacentral:rRNA from 1 species
AACGAACGCUGGCGGCAUGCCUAACACAUGCAAGUCGAACGCCCUGGUUCGCCAGGGGAGUGGCGCACGGGUGAGUAACGCGUGGGAACCUGCCCGGCAGUACGGGACAACCGCGGGAAACUGCGGCUGAUACCGUAUACGGCCUGAGGGCGAAAGAAUUUCGCUGUCGGAGGGGCCCGCGUCGGAUUAGGUAGUUGGUGGGGUAACGGCCUACCAAGCCUGCGAUCCGUAGCUGGUCUGAGAGGAUGAUCAGCCACACUGGGACUGAGACACGGCCCAGACUCCUACGGGAGGCAGCAGUGGGGAAUAUUGGACAAUGGGCGCAAGCCUGAUCCAGCAAUGCCGCGUGAGUGAUGAAGGCCUUAGGGUUGUAAAGCUCUUUCGCCCGCGACGAUGAUGACGGUAGCGGGAGAAGAAGCCCCGGCUAACUCCGUGCCAGCAGCCGCGGUAAUACGGAGGGGGCUAGCGUUGUUCGGAAUUACUGGGCGUAAAGGGCGCGCA